GACGAACGCUGGCGGCGUGCUUAACACAUGCAAGUCGAACGGAAAGGCCCUGCUUUUGUGGGGUGCUCGAGUGGCGAAAGGGUGAGUAACACGUGAGUGACCUGCCCUUGACUUUGGGAUAACUUCAGGGAACUGGGGCUAAUACCGGAUAGGAGCUCCUGCUGCAUGGUGGGGGUGGGAAAGAUGCGGCGGUUGGGGAUGGACUCGCGGCUUAUCAGCUUGUUGGUGGGGUAGUGGCUUACCAGGGCAUUGACGGGUAGCCGGCCUGGGAGGGUGACCGGCCACAUUGGGACUGGGAUAGCGCCCGGACUCCUACGGGAGGCAGCGGUGGGGAACAUUGCACAAUGGGCGGAAGCCGGAUGGAGCAACGCCGCGUGCGGGAUGACGGCUUGCGGGUUGUAAACCGCUUGCGCCUGUGACGAAGCGUGAGUGACGGUAAUGGGUAAAGAAGCACCGGCUAACUACGUG
rnacentral:rRNA from 1 species